rnacentral:tRNA from 1 species
GGAUUGUGGCUUAGCGGUAGAGUGCUCGCCUAGCAUGUGCGAGGCACCUGGUUGGAUCCUCAGCACCA